GACGAACGCUGGCGGCGUGCCUAAUACAUGCAAGUCGAACGCAGUGGGGACGGGUGAGUAACACGUGGGUAACCUCCCCUCAGAGGGGAUAACACUUGGAAACAGGUGCUCAACCGAUAUGGCUGGCUGGUCCCGCGUGGCAUUAGCUAGUUGGUGGGGUAACGGCUCACCAAGGCCACGAUGCAUAGCCGAGCUGAGAGGGUGAUCGGCCACACUGGAACUGAGACACGGCCCAGACUCCUACGGGAGGCAGCAGUAGGGAAUCUUCGGCAAUGGACGAAAGUCUGACCGAGCAACGCCGCGUGAGUGAAGAAGGUUUUCGGAUCGUAAAGCUCUGUUAUUAGAGAAGCGGUAUCUAACCAAAAAGCCACGGCUAACUACGUGCCAGCAGCCGCGGUAAUAC
rnacentral:rRNA from 1 species